CUGCCGUGUUAGUCUAUCGGGAAAUCGACGCGCUCAACGCGUCGGCGUCCGGUGGAAACUGCACGGCUUGGGGCCGGAAGACUCGACGGGUACGUCCGGGGUAGGAGUGAAAUCCUGUAAUCCUGGACGGACCACCAAUGGCGAAAGCACGUCGAGAAGCCGGACCCGACGGUGAGGGACGAAAGCCAGGGUCUCGAACCGGAUUAGAUACCCGGGUAGUCCUGGCUGUAAACGAUGCUCGCUAGGUAUGUCGCGCACCAUGAGUGCGCGAUGUGCCGCAGUGAAGACGAUAAGCGAGCCGCCUGGGAA
rnacentral:rRNA from 1 species